AAAAAUUAUCUUUGGGGGUUGAGUUGCAUCUGCCAUGCCCUCGCCAAAAAAAGAAGGGAGGUGUGGGGUAAGGAAAAUUGAAGUUGCAACUAUAACACUAGAAAACCUGUUAUGCAGCUCAGUCAUUAUACCUCAGAACGGCAUUGAUUAAUGUAACAUCCAGAGAAAAUUUAAGAUCCUUCCUCCAUUCAAUUAUCUGAAAUUGACAACACAAAUUUAAUCUUUUUCCCUUUGAAACAUUAUGGGACAAUUUUUUAGACUUCUCCCAAAAUGCAAAAGAUGUAUUUGCAGGACCACUUUUUAACAAUCAUCACCAAGUUGCUACCUGCUCUCAUGGUAACGAAGCUACAGCAUACUGAAACUCUAUCAGAGAGAGUUUUACUGUGAUGUACCAAUUAAUGCAGGGGAAGUUGGAGAGCUCAACAGAGUUUCAUAUGUAGAGCUAGCAUGCGCCCCAAGAUACAACCAUCACAUCUAAAGCUACAAUACAAACCCAUAUAAGGUUUUUCCACAUCCAUGAAUCUAAUCGAAAAGUUGAAGACUCAAGUACAUAGGACUCUAUAAACAAAAAGGCUAAGUAACUACAUUGAUUAAGAGUACACUGGAAUUAAAGACAACUUAAAUGCUGCUGUACAAUUCAAUCUCUGUCAGUAGGAAAAGGGUAAUCAAGACAAAAACAAAGCAGAGGAAUAGAUAGAAUUCUAUGAUUUAGAGAAUCCUAGCUUUCAAAGAAGCAUGAUAGUUCUUACCUGCUGCACUGCUGGCAAAACCGUUGCUCCUGACCUUUAAUAAAAACCUUAGGGGUUUUAGAGUGGAGCUCGCAUACUUUAUGUCUUCGAUGAUAAUCCCUGCAUUUGCUAAGGUCUGCAAUGCACCCAUCCACCAAGCAUGAAGGGACUUGAUUUCCAUUGCUAGGUGUUCAAUAGGGAUUAAGAAAUAACUACUGAAUUAAAAUUUCUUGAAGUUGGGAAUCGAACCUUCGUGAUUGGAAAAUAACCUUGCAGAAUUUACAGAAACUGAGUCGGGCUGCGGCUUCCUUCGGCGCCGGUUAUGUCCAUCAAGACGUUUCCUGCAGCUUCGUUUUCCUUCAUCAAACUCCACCAAGGAAUGAAACCUAUAAUAGUGACAUUGAAAGCAAUCAACAUUUUCCAAAAUUUAUAUAUUCACAGUUGAAUAAAAAAUUAUCUUUGGGGGUUGAGUUGCAUCUGCCAUGCCCUCGCCAAAAAAAGAAGGGAGGUGUGGGGUAAGGAAAAUUGAAGUUGCAACUAUAACACUAGAAAACCUGUUAUGCAGCUCAGUCAUUAUACCUCAGAACGGCAUUGAUUAAUGUAACAUCCAGAGAAAAUUUAAGAUCCUUCCUCCAUUCAAUUAUCUGAAAUUGACAACACAAAUUUAAUCUUUUUCCCUUUGAAACAUUAUGGGACAAUUUUUUAGACUUCUCCCAAAAUGCAAAAGAUGUAUUUGCAGGACCACUUUUUAACAAUCAUCACCAAGUUGCUACCUGCUCUCAUGGUAACGAAGCUACAGCAUACUGAAACUCUAUCAGAGAGAGUUUUACUGUGAUGUACCAAUUAAUGCAGGGGAAGUUGGAGAGCUCAACAGAGUUUCAUAUGUAGAGCUAGCAUGCGCCCCAAGAUACAACCAUCACAUCUAAAGCUACAAUACAAACCCAUAUAAGGUUUUUCCACAUCCAUGAAUCUAAUCGAAAAGUUGAAGACUCAAGUACAUAGGACUCUAUAAACAAAAAGGCUAAGUAACUACAUUGAUUAAGAGUACACUGGAAUUAAAGACAACUUAAAUGCUGCUGUACAAUUCAAUCUCUGUCAGUAGGAAAAGGGUAAUCAAGACAAAAACAAAGCAGAGGAAUAGAUAGAAUUCUAUGAUUUAGAGAAUCCUAGCUUUCAAAGAAGCAUGAUAGUUCUUACCUGCUGCACUGCUGGCAAAACCGUUGCUCCUGACCUUUAAUAAAAACCUUAGGGGUUUUAGAGUGGAGCUCGCAUACUUUAUGUCUUCGAUGAUAAUCCCUGCAUUUGCUAAGGUCUGCAAUGCACCCAUCCACCAAGCAUGAAGGGACUUGAUUUCCAUUGCUAGGUGUUCGAACUCGUUUUGAUGAUCCAGAUGAUGAUGACUCCAUUAAAUAGUCCCCUGGACCUGCAAAUUUCUCCACCAACUUAUCCUGCAAAAGACCUGAAUUCCCAAGUUUCAGGUCCACAG
rnacentral:lncRNA from 1 species